rnacentral:rRNA from 1 species
UGGGGAAUCUUCCGCAAUGGACGAAAGUCUGACGGAGCAACGCCGCGUGAGUGAUGACGGCCUUCGGGUUGUAAAGCUCUGUUAAUCGGGACGAAAGGCCUUCUUGCGAAUAGUUAGAAGGAUUGACGGUACCGGAAUAGAAAGCCACGGCUAACUACGUGCCAGCAGCCGCGGUAAUACGUAGGUGGCAAGCGUUGUCCGGAAUUAUUGGGCGUAAAGCGCGCGCAGGCGGAUUGGUCAGUCUGCCUUAAAAGUUCGGGGCUUAACCCCGUGAUGGGAUGGAAACUGCCAAUCUAGAGUAUCGGAGAGGAAAGUGGAAUUCCUAGUGUAGCGGUGAAAUGCGUAGACAUUAGGAAGAACACCAGUGGCGAAGGCGACUUUCUGGACGAAAACUGACGCUGAGGCGCGAAAGCCAGGGGAGCGAACGGGAUUAGAUACCCCGGUAGUCCUGGCCGUAAACGAUGGGUACUAGGUGUAGGAGGUAUCGACCCCUUCUGUGCCGGAGUUAACGCAAUAAGUACCCCGCCUGGGGAGUACGACCGCAAGGUUG